AACCUUUGUUGUGUUAAGCCAUAGGUUCUGGAGUCAGCCAUUAGCCAAGCCUGACUACUGCAUAUCUCUACCUAACUGCUGCCUCAUCUAUCAUUUGAGGAGAAUGACAUCUACCCCCGGGGAUGUUGGGAAAGAUCUGAACAAGACACUGGUUGUCUAUCUGGUUCAGCCACAAAACUGGAAAUUAAGUGACUGAAAAGACCUACAUUAGCACCUGUUUUUGCUAACUGAAAGAAAUCCAAGGAGGAUAUUCGCUUUCACGAAAAAAACUGAAAAUAGCGCUCAGCUUUUGUUUUACGAGCUGUUAGAGCCCUUAUAGAGGCAGCACACAUCCCCAGCUGCGAGAGUGGAGCCUCCACGCUCCUUCCCUGGAAAUUGCACUCAGUGUCUCAGCAUCAAGCCGCCAGAGCCUUGAACUGUGUCUGUGAGCAUCUGUGCUUUAUCUCCACUUAUUUCAGUGGAUUAUUUUUUGGCUCUGGGGACAAAAAAAUUUUUCCCAUGUAAGUUAAUAGUAAUUGUUUCUUCGGUUUACUCCAUUUUGGCUUAUAAAACUUUUCGUAGGCAAAUUCUACUUUCGGAUAGCAACGGAAAUCUGUACAUUGUGAAAGGAUUCCCACAAUGGAGUUAACACAUCCAUUAUCUCACAUAUCUACCUUUUUUUGGUGAGAAUGCUUAAAAUCUACUCUCUUAGCAAAUUUCAAUUAUACAAUAUGGUAUUAUGAACUGUAGUCACCAUGCUAUAUGUCAGAUGGGAAUGUUUUCUUUCUUCUGAUUUG
rnacentral:lncRNA from 1 species